GAAAUGCGAUACGUAAUGUGAAUUGCAGAAUUCCGCGAAUCAUCGAAUCCUUGAACGCACAUGGCGCUUGCGAGCUCCCUCGCAAGCACGCCUGUUUGAGUAUCGUUAACCUUCUCUCGCACACGCGCGCCCCGCGCCCGUGCUGCCGAGGAUGCUGGGCGUUUGGGGCCAGCCAUUUCGACUUGGUUGGUUCCAUCGCUUGAAACCGAGUGUCGGACUCUGAGCGCCGGGUCACGGUGUGCUGGUUGUCCCGUCACUGGGAUAAACGUCACUGUGCACCUGCGGCCAAGGAGUGGCCGGGCCACAAUGGUAUGUGUUUGUGCCACCAGCACAUACACACACGCAACAUCACCAUGCGAUCUCAAAUCAGGCGAGACUACCCGCUGAACUUAA
rnacentral:misc_RNA from 1 species